rnacentral:rRNA from 1 species
AUUGAACGCUGGCGGCAGGCCUAACACAUGCAAGUCGAGCGAGCGGCGGACGGGUGAGUAAUGUCUGGGACACUGCCUGAUGGAGGGGGGUAACUACUGGAACCGGUAGCUAAUACCGCAUACCAUCAGAUGUGCCCAGAUGGGAUUAGCUAGUGGGGGGGGAAAUGGCUCACCUAGGCGACGAUCACUAGCUGGUCUGAGAGGAUGACCAGCCACACGGGAACUGAGACACGGUCCAGACUCCUACGGGAGGCAGAAGUGGGGAAUAUGGAACAAUGGGCGCAAGCCUGAUGCAGCCAUGCCGCGUGUAUGAAGAAGGCCUUCGGGUUGUAAAGUACUUUCAGCGAGGAGGCGUUACUCGCAGAAGAAGCACCGGCUAACUCCGUGCCAGCAGCCGCGGUAAUAC